CUGUAAGUUUUUAUGUAUGAUUAUACACAUACUUGAAUGCAAAGUUUAUAUUAACAUUUUGUAGAGCUUUAUUGUGUGGAUUUUGUGAACUUUUAUUAAUAAUUGCAAAAAAGGAAAAUUGUUUAAAAAAAAUUGUGUAUUAUUGGCCAAUGCAUGGUAUAUAAUUCUUUUUUACAUUUCUCAUUAGUUGUAAUGAUUGUUGUCAAUAUAAUUGACUUAUGAUAGUGUUAUUAUUUAACGCUGUUAUGAUAACUGACUUGAAGCUUAUUAUUCGCCAUCUGAUAAGAUUUGCACUGACUCCUGAUAAACAUGAAGAUGCUAUGAGAUUUAAAAGUGUUUGGUCUUUUACUCUUGAAGUGCUGUAUUGUUGCUUGUAUUUAAUACAUUGUGGAUAAGUUGAUGUAGAGAGUGUUACUAUUUAAAUACACAUAUAUUUUUUUUCGCUUUGGUAAAUAGACAUAUGAAUGUAUCAUUAAAAAAAACCCAAAAUUUUUCAGGGAAAAAGAUGGCAGUGACCAACUAGUAACAAAACUAUGUGUGUGCUUUAUAGAUAUUGUGCUAUUUUUUAAAAUUAAUCAAGCAGUUCUUUUGUCUAAAGUUUUGAGAAUUAUAUGUCUUGUAAAAUAAAAUUAUACAUGUACCUUAAAACUUGAAAAUUUAAUAAUACAUGGAUAUCCUUUAAGUGUUUUGAGAGCAGUAUACAAGUCUGCAUGUACUAAUGCUAAAUUCAAGGGUAGUCUGGGCAAAACUUCAGUUUCAGACCUUAUUGCCAUGCCCAUUACAAUGGUGAAGAUAAGUGAUUGCUCUUUGAAUCAAUAUGCUACAUGUAGUACCUAUAAAAUUAUGUGAAGUAAAAGACUUGUUGGAGAAACUUUAUGAAAUGCUCAAUUUUCUCAGAGAAUAACAUGUUUUGUGUACUCUUUUUGACUCAUUAGGAUUUCAGGGUUGGUAUAUUGAAAGAGAUGAUAUGGUUUGUUAUGCAGUGAUUAUAUUACAAAGAUCAGGUGUUUUGCAAUAUAAUAUAUACACUGUAGCUUAUUCCAUAGGAUGACAGGAUAAAUGGUUGAAUGUGUUGGAUUUUGACUGCUAGGAGGGAACAUUUUGUAUUACAUUACAUUUUGUACAAUACAUUAUUGUAUUACUAUUUUUAAACAUUUGUUGUAAUAUUUAACAUUAUGUUCUGCUUUAUGAAUGAGAUAGGUGUUCGAAUGGGACACAUUAAUGUGGUAUUAAAUCAAUAAAGGUCACCUGAACGUACAAUUU
rnacentral:misc_RNA from 1 species